ACGUGUCAAACAACGCAUAUAUCUCUUUGCGUGUAAUAAAGGACGAGUUUUGUUUCAUUGCUGUGAAAAUAUUGACACGAUCUGUGCUUUGAAAUGAAUAAAUCAGUAGCAUUCAUCAUGAUAAUGAUGCUAAUGUCAACUAUGAUGUUUUCCCCAACCCUAUCACAUUAUGGGAAAAUUAUAGAUGAUAAAAGGUUAUUUAUGAUCGGCAAACCAUCCUUCGCAAAAAGCAGUUAUCUGUGUAACCAAAAACAUGAUGAAUAUAUCUAAUACCGGAACCUCACCUGCUAGCAUUAAACUGGAUGAUGUAUAUAAUCCACCUGCACUAUUUGGUUAUUCAACCAAAACCUUACAAUGUUGGAAUAUCCUGCGUGAUGGCUGAAAUAAAAAAAUCUAUAUAUUA